rnacentral:lncRNA from 1 species
CAGAUAAUUCAAUGGAUAUAGGGGAAUUAUAAGUAUCUCUUGGUAAACUAAAUAUAGCAACACCUAUCGAACAUUGAACAUUGGUGGCACUGUAAGCACUGCAAAAACCAUACAAAUAUUUAUUGUUUUUUUUUUCCAAGCUGAGCGCAUAAACCUAGAUUUUCCUUAGCUGAAGGUUAGUUGUAUCUUUAAAGAUGCUCAGAAUUAGCCAUGGGGCAAUCUGUCACGCGAUGCAUAGACACUGAACCUCAGAGGCACUCAAAUUCAGAUGACAAUGGCUGAGAACCAACAGAUUCCAAACGAAAUUCCUGUAAACGACCUUCGUACAAGCGGAACAACAAAGAGAAAAAUCUAGACUGUUAAUGACCACCGCAAUAAAGAGUACUUACAUUAUGUUUUGCUUUAAUAGCAAUUAUUAUCGACCAAGCAGCAAGUACAUAAAACUUGAUGGGUCUUACGAGCAUAAAUAAUACUCGUAUUCGUACUUGCCACAGCAGCAGUGGACGGCAGACCGACCGACCUACCGACAAUUGCAGGCGCAGCUGAAGUCUCAAGGUCAGGUUGCAGGCUAAAUUUAACAUUGAAACUGCAUUGUCUGCGGCCAAGCGUUAACGGAGGAGUGGCCGGCAGUGUCCGCCCCAACCGGUUACACUGCAAAAGAUCUGACUAUCUGUUGCAGCUUCUUCUUCUCCCUCUUCUUCUUUUGGUUUAAUUUGGCGAUUUCAAAAGAGAAACAAAAGCCACGUAAGGCCCGGCGUGACAUUGAAUUGUAAAUGCAGAAGAUAAAGUAAAACGUGGAACGCAUAAAGUUUACCCAAAACGAAGCACAGCAAAGGAAAAGUAGUAAAUAAAAUGUAAGCCGACAUCCGAUGCAUGUGCAACUUUUUUUUAUGUUGCGCGAAAACCCACAG